AUUGAACGCUGGCGGCAGGCCUAACACAUGCAAGUCGAACGGUAACAGGGAUCAGCUUGCUGAUUCGCUGACGAGUGGCGGACGGGUGAGUAAUGUCUGGGAAACUGCCUGAUGGAGGGGGAUAACUACUGGAAACGGUAGCUAAUACCGCAUAACGUCGCAAGACCAAAGAGGGGGACCUUCGGGCCUCUUGCCCUCGGAUGUGCCCAGAUGGGAUUAGCUAGUAGGUGGGGUAACGGCUCACCUAGGCGACGAUCCCUAGCUGGCCUGAGAGGAUGACCAGCCACACUGGAACUGAGACACGGUCCAGACUCCUACGGGAGGCAGCAGUGGGGAAUAUUGCACAAUGGGCGCAAGCCUGAUGCAGCCAUGCCGCGUGUAUGAAGAAGGCCUUCGGGUUGUAAAGUACUUUCAGCGGGGAGGAAGGGAGUAAAGUUAAUACCUUUGCUCAUUGACGUUACCCGCAGAAGAAGCACCGGCUAACUCCGUG
rnacentral:rRNA from 1 species